GGAGGAAUAUUGGUCAAUGGGCGCAAGCCUGAACCAGCCAUCCCGCGUGCAGGAAGACGGCCCUAUGGGUUGUAAACUGCUUUUCCAGGGGGAGAAUUUUUCUGUCGUGACAGGAAUUGACGGUACCCUGGGAAUAAGCAUCGGCUAACUCCGUGCCAGCAGCCGCGGUAAUACGGAGGAUGCGAGCGUUAUCCGGAUUUAUUGGGUUUAAAGGGUGCGUAGGCGGAUUGAUAAGUCAGUGGUGAAAACCUGCAGCUUAACUGUAGACUUGCCGUUGAUACUGUCAGUCUUGAGUGUGGUCAAGGUAGGCGGAAUGUGUAAUGUAGCGGUGAAAUGCUUAGAUAUUACACAGAACACCGAUUGCGAAGGCAGCUUACNGGGUCCAUUACGUGACGCUGAU
rnacentral:rRNA from 1 species